rnacentral:rRNA from 1 species
UACGAAGGGGGCUAGCGUUGCUCGGAAUCACUGGGCGUAAAGCGCACGUAGGCGGCUUUUUAAGUCAGGGGUGAAAUCCUGGAGCUCAACUCCAGAACUGCCUUUGAUACUGAGAAGCUUGAGUCCGGGAGAGGUGAGUGGAACUGCGAGUGUAGAGGUGAAAUUCGUAGAUAUUCGCAAGAACACCAGUGGCGAAGGCAGCUCACUGGCCCGGUACUGACGCUGAGGUGCGAAAGCAUGGGGAGCGAACAGG